GAUGAACGCUGGCGGCGUGCUUAACACAUGCAAGUCGAACGGUGAAGCAGGAGCUUGCUCUUGUGGAUCAGUGGCGAACGGGUGAGUAACACGUGAGCAACCUGCCCCUGACUCUGGGAUCAGCGCUGGAAACGGCGUCUAAUACUGGAUAUGUGAUGUGACCGCAUGGUCUGCAUCUGGAAAGAAUUUCGGUUGGGGAUGGGCUCGCGGCCUAUCAGCUUGUUGGUGAGGUAAUGGCUCACCAAGGCGUCGACGGGUAGCCGGCCUGAGAGGGUGACCGGCCACACUGGGACUGAGACACGGCCCAGACUCCUACGGGAGGCAGCAGUGGGGAAUACUGCACAAUGGGCGGAAGCCUGAUGCAGCAACGCCGCGUGAGGGAUGACGGCCUUCGGGUUGUAAACCUCUUUUAGCAGGGAAGAAGCGAGAGUGACGGUACCUGCAGAAAAAGCACCGGCUAACUACGUGCCAGCCGCCGCCGUAA
rnacentral:rRNA from 1 species